CUAGCAUGCGUUUGCGCUGGUUAGCCUGACAAGUCAGGCAGAGGGAAUACGGUGGAAAUCCGUAACUGACGCGCAGCGGUGAUAGAGAACGAAAGCACAUGGACGUAAGUUCCGAACACUGCUUCAAUCGCUUACACAACGUAGGCACCGAAGUGGGAAGUUGUUGCCUAGGUGGUUGUCCAACCAUGCUCUUAAGUCCGAAGACCGACCAGUGUACCGAGUAACUU
rnacentral:ncRNA from 2 species